GGCGUGGAGAGGGCCGGGCCUGCGAGGAAGACGCCAGGCCUGAAGGCUAGCGAGCUGCGGACUGGAACGAGGAGGGCGAGGCGGCGGCGCAAAGCUUCGGGCGGGCGAGGGGUUUCCCCAGGACUGCCUCCGGCUCAGAGAGGCGGGAUCCCGCCAGGACGGGGUCCCUAAGGGAGGAGAACGGCACACGACGACCCAGAUUCCUCUCCUGCCGGGCAGGGACCUCCUUAGACUUUUCCUGGUGGGUCGACCCCUUACGGAAAUCCCCCAAAGCUCACCCGAUACACACCCUCGGCAACCGAGCCACCUCCUGCCGCGGGGAAGCCAGAGUAAAAGUAGGAACAUCCUAGAAGACUAAUAAGUGGUUUUCUAGCGUUUAGAGCCAGGGACGUGGUGAGACGCCCUCCCUCUCGGAGGCAUCCCCCCAGUGGGGGUCCCACUUGAUUGUCGAAGACUUUCCUGUGAGGUCCUCCCUCUGCAGACUUCUCUGAUGGGUCCGCUCUGUUUUAGAACUUGUCACUGUAUCUUUUGGGUCGGAGAGGGAAACUUUGGGUAAAAAUAUCGAGAACUUAGAUACUGGCGCGGUGAAAUAGUACAAUGAAGAACCUAGAUACUGGCGCGAAGUUCCGAGGAAAGGCAUUGAGGAAGAGGAUUUUCAUUCUUAAAUUUUUCUGAAAGUCUAUUAUGUGUAUUUUAUGUCAGGUUUGGGGUUAAAAACCUGAAAUAAGGAAAUGGGGUCAAUAAUAACAUGGAGUGUGAGAAGCAACUGGAGAAAUGGUGAGGAGGAACUUUCAAGAUCCUUCCCUGAGACCACACCCUAUUAAAAGACUAGACCAAUGUUUUUUUGGAACAUCAUGUAUGCGUUUAGAGAAAAUGAAAGUACAGGCCACGCUGAAACAAAUCGGAAGAAUAGAUUAUCUUUAACGAAAGAGAAACUAACCUAUGCCCCUACUGCCGUCAGCGCCUACUGUGCUGCCGUGUGAGGCAUGGUGAUUGCAGCUGUACAAUGCCCCCUGUGAUGCCUCACUGCACCAACGCGCCACCCACUCACGGAAAAGAGAGCCACCUAGUGAAAUACUGUUCUCAUCUCUGAUGUAGGUACUUCCUUUCCGUCAACUCUAGAGCCCAAGGAUGGAGAUUAUUACCACAUAUUACCUAAAAUACCCUACAUGUCUUUCCUGAAAUGCACUGCUAAUCAUCACAGUUAACACCUUUUAAGUCUGUGGCUCAUAAUAUCCAGUAAACAGUGUUCGAGCAUAUGUCAUGACACUUCUGAUAAGCAAUCUAGGAGAUUAUUACUAUCUUCUCAUUUUGGAAAUAAGAAAACUGGGAUCAGUAAGAUGAAUCCUUUUGUUGUGUUUUCUACAAACAUUUACUGAGCAUCUAUUACUUUUCAGGCUCUGUCCAGGUUACUGUGGAUAUCAUGGUAAAAGAGGCAUUGUCCCUAUCUUGGAGAAACCCACCUUCUGGUAGAGAUACCAGAGAAUGGAGAAGUGAUAAGAAUGCAAGAUGAUGGGUGCAGUAAUUAAGGUCAGAACAAAGUACCCCAGGUACACAGAUGAGGAUCAGAAAUACAAUCUUUGUAUUUUAUAUCAGCUUUCCUAAGAAUUUUGUAAGAUUCUUCAAUAGCUUUACAAUGCCCCUACAAAGUAGGUAGAAUUGUAGCGUUUACGUCUUGUAGGUUGUAAGACACCAAUGCCCAUCUUGAAAAUAACUUUUGAAAAUCAAUAAAACUCAGAAAAAUUAUGGCCCAGAUAUUAUACAUUGCUGAAUGUACAUUUUCCAAUCUCGUCUCUUUCUACUGCUCUCCAUCAAAAGAUAUGUAGAAUAUAAGCUUCUGUAAUAAUAGCUUUUAUUCAUUUCAUUCCCCUGCAGAUAUAGAUUACAUCUAAACCAAAAGAAAUUAAAGAGAAACUCUUAAUCCUA